GUGUCAGCAGCCGCGGUAAUACAGAGGGUGCGAGCGUUGUUCGGAAUUACUGGGCGUAAAGCGCGCGCAGGCGGUCCUUUAAGUCUACCCGUGAAAUGCCGGAGCUCAACUCCGUGCACGCCGGGGGAUACUGGAGGACUGGAGACGAGUAGAGGCAAGCGGAAUUCCGGGUGUAGCGGUGGAAUGCGUAGAGAUCCGGAAGAACACCGGAGGCGAAGGCGGCUUGCUGGGCUUGGUCUGACGCUGAGGCGCGAAAGCGUGGGGAGCGAACAGGAUUAGAUACCCUGGUAGUCC
rnacentral:rRNA from 1 species